AUUGAACGCUGGCGGCAGGCCUAACACAUGCAAGUCGAGCGGAGCGGCGGACGGGUGAGUAAGGCCUAGGAAUCUGCCCGGUAGUGGGAGAUAACGUCCGGAAACGGGCGCUAAUACCGCAUCCUAUCAGAUGAGCCUCGGUCGGAUUAGCUAGGUGGUGGGGUAAAGGCACACCAAGGCGACGAUCCGUAACUGGGCUGGGAGGCUGAUCAGUCACACUGGAACUGAGACACGGUCCAGACUCCUACGGGAGGCAGCAGUGGGGAAUAUUGGACAAUGGGCGAAAGCCUGAUCCAGCCAUGCCGCGUGUGUGAUGAAGGUCUUCGGAUUGUAAAGCACUUUAAGAUGGGAGGCGUUACCAACAGAAUAAGCACCGGCUAACUUCGUGCCAGCCGCCGCGGUAAUUC
rnacentral:rRNA from 1 species